rnacentral:rRNA from 1 species
AUUGAACGCUGGCGGCAGGCUUAACACAUGCAAGUCGAGCGGAGUGAUGGUGCUUGCACUAUCACUUAGCGGCGGACGGGUGAGUAAUGCUUAGGAAUCUGCCAUUUAGUGGGGGACAACAUUCCGAAAGGAAUGCUAAUACCGCAUACGUCCUACGGGAGAAAGCAGGGGAUCUUCGGACCUUGCGCUAAAUGAUGAGCCUAAGUCGGAUUAGCUAGUUGGUGGGGUAAAGGCCUACCAAGGCUACGAUCUGUAGCGGGUCUGAGAGGAUGAUCCGCCACAAUGGGACGGGGACACGGCCCAGACUCCUACGGGAGGCAGCAGUGGGGAAGAUUGGACAAUGGGCGGAAGCCUGAUCCAGCCAUGCCGCGUGUGUGAAGAAGGCCUUUUGGUUGUAAAGCACUUUAAGCGAGGAGGAGGCUACUAGUACUAAUACUACUGGAUAGUGGACGUUACUCGCAGAAUAAGCACCGGCUAACUCUGUGCCAGCCGCCGCCGUAACAC